UCGUCAUUUUGCACGCAUGCUAACGCUUCCACCGGUGCGGCACUGUACAUCUUCUUGAAGCCUCACGCUCACAGGGCCGCAAGCGGAGCAGAGGGCAUGGCUUCAGCUGAAGCAGGGGAAUCCAGCAUGUCUGCGUUUGUGGCGGAAAGGAACGGAUCUGUCUCCUCGUGGGGCAUUUCUAACUACCCUGAUUCCGCUGUUUUUGGCAUCGAUUCGGAGAGGCUGAGCGUCCUAUGAGAGGUUGUCGAGGACGACCCCAGCGGCGGAUUCGCUGAUUUGUUGGAUUCUGUCGACGUUAGGACAGAAACAGACACCACGGAUCUAGACGAGAAUAGGGCUUCGAGGAUGGAUAAUAGAUAUGCGGCCCUUGAUGACAAAGUCGGGUGGGUUACAAGGAACAGGAGGGUUGCAGUGCCAGACGAGAGAGCAACAAGUGCUGACAGGGUGACAGCC